UUACGGGUGGCAGCAGUGGGGAAUAUUGGACAAUGGGCGAAAGCCUGAUCCAGCCAUGCCGCGUGUGUGAAGAAGGCCUUCGGGUUGUAAAGCACUUUCAGUGGGGAAGAAAGCCUUGGGGCUAAUACCCUCGAGGAAGGACAUCACCCACAGAAGAAGCACCGGCUAACUCCGUGCCAGCAGCCGCGGUAAUACGGAGGGUGCGAGCGUUAAUCGGAAUUACUGGGCGUAAAGCGCGCGUAGGCGGUCUGAUAAGCCGGUUGUGAAAGCCCCGGGCUCAACCUGGGAACGGCAUCCGGAACUGUCAGGCUAGAGUGCAGGAGAGGAAGGUAGAAUUCCCGGUGUAGCGGUGAAAUGCGUAGAGAUCGGGAGGAAUACCAGUGGCGAAGGCGGCCUUCUGGACUGACACUGACGCUGAGGUGCGAAAGCGUGGGUAGCAAACAGGAUUAGAUACCCCAGUAGUC
rnacentral:rRNA from 1 species